AGACUGUCCCAGCAAUCUGUGCAGCGGAAAUCUUCCAGCUGUGCAGUGGGCUCAGGAGUCUGACUUGGCUUUUCUGUAUGUGUUCUGCUAGGGAAUGAGAAAGGCAGACAAGGGGACUGAUGAUGGUGAAAUGUCAAAAUUUAAUCAUCUAGAAGAAUGUGCUACCUUUCAGAUGGUAAAAGAAGAUGCAAGGAGACAGAUAGAGGCUCCAAAAUAUGAGAAAACAUCUAAUCACUCAAAAGACCAUUUUUCAGACAAGUUUAGCUAAGGUCAUAAGUAAGCUUUUAAAUUAUAUGUAGCUUUAUUUCUUCCACCUGGCUAUAAACUAGUCAAUGACUUACUGGGCAACUCCUAAUUCUUAGGGAAAUACUAAAGAUGGGAUAAAUCUUCAAGGAAAGUUUUGACAGACUAAUGUAUCUCCUGGUUCUUUUAGACAACUAUUGAUUUCUAUUUUAUAGUCCUGAGUUUUUCCAUACACGAGAAAUACAGAAAAUGUCAUGCUAAUUCAGAUUGCAGCAUUCAGAUUUCUUUUAAGAUCACUUAGUUUUCCUAGGGUAACUAUCCAGCUUUCACUCUGAAGAACUU
rnacentral:lncRNA from 1 species